GACAGAGGGUGCAAACGUUGUUCGGAAUUACUGGGCGUAAAGCGCACGUAGGCGGAUAUUUAAGGUAGGGGUGAAAUCCCAGGGCUCAACCCUGGAACUGCCUUUUAAUACUGGGUAUCUCGAGUCCGAGAGAGGUGAGUGGAAUUCCGAGUGUAGAGGUGAAAUUCGUAGAUAUUCGCAAGAACACCAGUGGCGAAGGCGGCUCACUGGCCCGGUACUGACGCUGAGGUGCGAAAGCGUGGGGAGCAACAGGAUAGAAACCUUGUA
rnacentral:rRNA from 1 species